rnacentral:tRNA from 3 species
GGCGAGGUAGCUCAGCCGGUUAGAGCGUCGGAUUCAUAACCCGGAGGUCGGGAGUUCAAGUCUCCCCCUCGCUA